AGCCGGGGAAGUAGCGGCUCCCUGUACCUGAAAUCCGCUAUAGCAGGGGUGAUGUUCUGCUUAGGGCUUUGCCUGUGAUGGCUGCCCGGUUUAAGUGGCGUUGAAGCCUGGGUCUUGCGCAAUAGGAAUCUCCGAACCAUGUCAGGUCGGGAACGAAGCAGCAUUAAGGGGAAGCUCCUAUGUGACGUGAGGGUGCCUGGGCUGAGCUAACUGGAUUGGUACCGCAUUGCAGGGUGGUUCGAAGC
rnacentral:SRP_RNA from 1 species